AAUUUCACCAACUUUGCUAGAAAUAUCCGCUGCCUGAAGUGCAAAGCUGAGGGACCAAAGAAUUUAGGAGGAAGUGAUAUUGAAAUGAAGAAAGGUGAUUGGAAUUAUCCAAAGUGGGUCAAUUUUUCUCAAAAUUACAGAGAAGUCCAAGUAGACGAACAAAAAGUUGCUGGGAGCGUCUACCAGAGGAGAAACUUGUUGAAAAAUCAGCAUCCGUCAAUCAUAGUACUUUAAAAUAUUCUGGAUGGGCACAUGCCAAUGAAAGGGACAAAAAGG